AGUAAAACCAAUAACAAUGGUGCCUGAAAAGGCUUAAUAGGGAAUCCGCUGAAAACCGGAGCUGUACCCGCAACUGUAAGUGCUGACGAACUAUGGCAAUCCACUGUCCAACGGACGGGAAGGACAUAGUGUAGGAAGACGCACGAGCCAGGAGACCUGCCAUCGUUAUAAGUUAAUG
rnacentral:ncRNA from 2 species